rnacentral:tRNA from 2 species
GGGCGAUUAGUUAAGUGGUAUAACCGCGGUCUCCAAAACCGCUAUCGGAGGUCCGAUUCCUCCAUCGCCCG